AUCCAGCUGACGAGUCUCGAAUAAGACGAAACGCGCGUCCUGGAU
rnacentral:hammerhead_ribozyme from 1 species